rnacentral:rRNA from 1 species
UACGGGGGGAGCAAGCGUUGUUCGGAUUUACUGGGCGUAAAGGGCGCGUAGGCGGUCGUGACAAGUCACUUGUGAAAUCUCCGGGCUUAACUCGGAACGGUCAAGUGAUACUGUCGGACUAGAGUACAGAAGGGGCAACUGGAAUUCUCGGUGUAGCGGUGAAAUGCGUAGAUAUCGAGAGGAACACCUGCGGCGAAGGCGGGUUGCUGGGCUGAUACUGACGCCGAGAAGCGAAAGCAUGGGGAGCGAACAGG